AACGUUACCUUAAAUGGAAGCAUACAUUUUUUGCUGGAAGAAUAAGUGCUUCUCUUUGGGGUAGCCAUA
rnacentral:pre_miRNA from 1 species